rnacentral:lncRNA from 1 species
CCCAUUUAAAAAAAACAAAAUAGAGAGCUUCUUUGCUCUCUCUCCAUCCCAUUUUCUCCCUUGUGGCUAGGGUUUUGAAACCCAUCAUCGCCGCCGUUGUCACGGCACCACCACAGGCGGUGGUUGGGCGGUGCGAGCCGGGCUUUCUAGCCCCUGUUUAAGGCGUCCCCGAAAGCCAAGCCUUCAGCCCAAAAAGCGCGAAGGUGAAGGGUCUCUCCCCUCCCUAAACGAUGUGAUCUCGACGACGGAGGAGAGACCUCCAACGACAAAGGCGACUCCGGUGAGGGCCUCUUCUCCUCCCUUUUAUUUAUUUUAUGCCCACUUUUUAAAAAUGUUUUUGUAUUAAAAAUAUAAAUAAAAAGAAACAAAAAACGAGUAGGAAACAAAAUAAAAGAAUAUCGAGAUCAACCUUAAACUUUUGUUCUGUUCUUUUGAUUCAAAUGUGUGUGUAAAAAAAAUUACAAAGAAAGUGAUUCGGCUUUUAUAGCCAAGUUAAGCAACUCCCUGUUUCUAUUCUUUUUUGUUUUUUUGCUAUUUAUUUCUUCUGCAUGCUCUCUGUUGUUGUAUUUGAUUUGGUUGCAGGUGUCAGAGGCGUGGAAGGCCGGUGGUUGGCUCGCGAGGAGGCAAGGUGGCGCGCGUGGUGACCAAGGCUGAGGGGGGAGUGGCGGCUGAAAACUUUGGUGGCUAGGUUUUUUUGUUUGCUGAAAAUGUUUAAGAUAGUGGGCUAGGAUUUGGGCUAGGGUUUUAAUUGUUUGGGUCAUACAUAUGUUGUAAAUAGACUUAAAAUUUGGGCUUUUUAUUUGAUUAUUUGGAUUUUACUUUUUGUUUAUUUGCCUGGGCCAAAAUUGGCACACACGUCGGAAUUGUGGUCCCAAAAUCACUAUGUUUGACACUACUAAAAAAUGGGUUGUUACACUAGUCAUGUUUCAUAAAUUAACAUAUCAGAGUACCCUCAGCGUGUUUGCAUCUC